rnacentral:rRNA from 1 species
UACGUAGGGUGCGAGCGUUAAUCGGAAUUACUGGGCGUAAAGCGUGCGUAGGCGGUUUUGUAAGUCAGAUGUGAAAUCCCCGGGCUUAACCUGGGAACUGCGUUUGAAACUACAAGGCUAGAGUGUGGCAGAGGGGGGUGGAAUUCCACGUGUAGCAGUGAAAUGCGUAGAGAUGUGGAGGAACACCGAUGGCGAAGGCAGCCCCCUGGGUUAACACUGACGCUCAUGCGCGAAAGCGUGGGGAGCAAACAGG